UAAUUGAAGAGUUUGAUCAUGGCUCAGAUUGAACGCUGGCGGCAGGCCUAACACAUGCAAGUCGAGCGGAAACGAAGAGGUGCUUGCACCUCUGGCGUCGAGCGGCGGACGGGUGAGUAAUGCUUGGGAAUAUGCCUUAUGGUGGGGGACAACAGUUGGAAACGACUGCUAAUACCGCAUAAUGUCUACGGACCAAAGUGGGGGACCUUCGGGCCUCACGCCAUA
rnacentral:rRNA from 1 species